rnacentral:piRNA from 1 species
UGGGAUUUCUGUCAUGUUUCAAUGCCC